AUAAAAUUAAUUAAUAAACAUGCAAGUUUUUUAUAGUAAUAAAUAAUUUAUGGAUCAAUAAACUUUAAAUGAAAGAUUGUCAAACAUAACUAAUCACUCACAAGGUAUCAAUAAAUCUACAUUCUUUAAUCAAUUAACAAAUUUUCUUUCUUUGUUGUAUAAUCUAAUAUCAUCUAACAUACAAAUCUCUAUUUUAUUAUUUUUUCAACUUUUUCCUAACCUCCAAUCAAGCUCCCAGCAACAUACAUUCAGGCCAGUGAUUCCGGAUGGAAGCCCGAUGGAACGACAAAACCGGUCUAUCAACCGAGCCAGGUUCGCGCAGGUCCAGUUCAAUUUCAGCACCGAAGGAUUCGUCGUGCACCGAUCAAAGUCCACGAGGAGCAGUUGCACGAUGGUGGUGGUGGCAACGUGUACGAGUAGGAGUAGCGUGAAGAGAGGGAGGGGGAGGUCCAGUCCUCACCACCCGCACUUACCAGCCGGACAAUAAAGAAAGGAAAGGGAGAGGCGAACAGCCGGUAAGGAGGAACAGAGAUGCAUUAAAAGUCAUCCGACUCGUAUAGCCGACAGACCAGUGUGUUGUUCGUAUGGAAAGAUGACCCCAGAGAUGGGACUAGUAUUCGUUGGGACCCCAGACCGAAUUAAACGCUACCAUUAGUUGGAAUGAUGAAGAGAGGAAGGACGGAUGUCGUGAAUAUUUCGUCAUUGGCACAUUAAUCUCUUUUUUGCUCGUUGGGCGUUGAGUUUUGGUAUGUGGAGAUUAACCUAGUUUUAUGGGUCGAGGAAUUUAUAGAAAAGAUAAAAAAUACUUUGAAGAUUGAAUUCAAAGUUCCAGGUCUUCAAAAACAUGCAGACGACCCUGAAGAAGAAUUGAAUGGCACAGAACAGACAAUGAAUCUACACUCGUGGAGCACGCUUGUAUAUAGUGAAGGUUCGUUUCAGCUGACCAGGGUCGACCAUUGUCAUGUUAAUGAAUAGAAGACACAUUUUCGAGGUUGAAAGUUGCGCUUGUUCACGCAUUUCAUACUAUGUAAUUAUCUUAUACCUGAAUCAUCGCGUAUAAUGCAAACUGACAUGAAGAUACACGAAAAUAAUGAAAUAAGAUGCAACUUUAUAUCAAAUUUAAUUUUAAAAUGUAUAUGAAAUUGAACGUUUGAAUCAAUGGAUAUCAUUAAAAUUUUUAAUUUUUAUACAAAUUUAAACUAAUUAAUUAAUUAAAAAUAGAAGAACAAAACAUGAUAUUAAUUUGAACGUUUUUAG